GAGUUGUUUAUUUACAUUUAUAAACCAUCCAAAUAUGCAAUUAAUUUUGUGAAAUUAAAUGUUUGUGGCAAAUAUUCAGUGUGGUUAAAGGGAGAAACCCGUACUUCCCGUGAAAUGGGGUCCGGAAGAUUCCCAAAUUGCAGUCUUUUCUUCAUUAUUUCUAAACUUUGAUUCGCGUAGCCUGAUUUGAACAUGUCGUAGCGGAAAAAAACUCAAGGACAGAAAGGAAGCAACCUAAACGAUUAUUAUGUAAAAAAAACUUAUGUUCGCGAAGGGAUUGUUCGCAAAUUCCAGAGGAGAAGAUUUCAAGUUCCAUUCGAAGGCCGGCUACUUAAAAAGAGUAUAUUGGUUGCAUAGAUUGAUAUAUAUUGAUUAACUGUUUCAAAAUAAAUUCUAAUAUUUGCGCCAAUUCUCGGUCAGAUGUGAAAAGGGACAAUAUCCAUUCAAUUCUUUCAGUA